GAAUUGUGAGGUGGCGCCCCACCCCGCUGCCACGGUUACCCCAAAUGCCAGGGGAUGGCCAUGGUAAUGGCCUUUGAGCCCCCCGGCAGGGGGCUAAUUUCUCCAUCCAGUUGGGGGGCCCAGGGCGUCCCGCCCCCAAAACAUGACACGACCCCGAUUAAUAAAGGGAGGAGCCAUAAACCACACUUGUCCAUGGGGGAAGUGGCUAGCUCGGCUCCCCUCAGUCUCCUGGGGCGGCUGAGAGGAUGGAGGAGAGGAAGACAUAGAAGGGGGAGUGCUCCCAAACCAAGGUGGCCACGGGCAGUUGGGGACCAGCCUUGUUGGGCAUCCGCUGGGCAUGCCCUGAAAAGUGGCUCAGUGAGUCUACACCAUGGUUUUCCAACGCAAAUGUACCUUUGGAUUAGCCACAUCCCCACCAGGGAUGCACCCCAAGUGUGUGAAGGACAAGAGCUGGGAUGCAGAGAGGGUACUGCCAGGUAUUUGAGACCACCUUGAACAGCGGAGCCCACUCUCCCGAGGUGCCAUUGGAAGAAUAAAACGUGAGCCAGUCCUGGCUGCAGGAUACAGAAGAGUCUGCUUCCGGGCCAGUUUGUCCUUGGAGGAUACUUCCACCUCCCAGGCCCUCAGGUUGGAAACCUUGGAGUCGCCCUGGACACCACACUCUCUCACCCACUAUCUCUCAGCCAUGUGCCAAGGCCUGUGCCUGUCACCUUGGCAGCAUCUUUCCCCUGCUACCCCAACCCUCCUCCCAGACCCUCCUUCAGCCAUACCUGGACCCAGACUGAGGCAGUCCGAGUUUCUGCCUGUCUCACUCCAGCCCCAUUCUGGGACUCAGUGAUCCUGCUAGCUCUGGGCCCCCCUCCCCCAAUGUACUCCAAGACCAAAUGAAAAAUUCGGUUUGUUAUCUAAGUCGUUCAUCACGUGAGCCCCUCUCUUGGUCUUCUUACUGCCCCCCCCCAAUAAAAGAACACCCUCCAAGAGGUACCUGUCUCCAG
rnacentral:lncRNA from 1 species